UACACCGUCUGUACUAGCCACUAUUUAGCUCACAAAUAGACCGACUACGAAUAACCCACGUUUAGCUCAGAAAUAACCAUUAAUUUAAUUACAUGUGGUUUUUGCCAAAAUAACUUGUAUGGUAUGUCAUUGUAAGCAAAGUUAACAGCGAUUACAAGGUUUGUUUAAUUUCUUUAAAGUGUUUUAUGCACCGUCGUACAUAUAGCCACUAUUUAGCUCAUAAAUAGACCGACUACGAACAAACCAUGUUUAGCCCAAAAUAACCUUGAAUUUAAUAAAAUUUUGUUUUUGCCAAAAUAACUUGCAAAAAUUAUGAUAUUUUAUCAGGCAUGCAAAGACACCAGUGAAUUUAAGAUGUUUGGUUUUAUUUAUCUUAUCUGAAUAUCUGCUGUCACGCAUAACAUUCAUUAUUUGACCGUAUUUCAAAGAUAAACAAAAUCCAGUUACAACUCCGAACCGCUAGAUGGCAGCAGUACACAAACACGGGGCCAAAUCUCACGAGAAAGAUUUCCGCUGUUUGAAAAGCAACAACAUCAGCGAGCAGCCACGAGGAAAGCAUGUACCACACUUGUUUGGUCUUGUGUCAAAGCUCUGCGAAACUGGAGGGAGAAACUUGAGAGACCGUGCCGGAAGAAUGCUGGACAGAGUUCACUAAAAUUCAUUAAUUUCAAAGUUCAACAUUAAUGGUGGUGGUCCACUGCAGAAGCAAGCAUUUGAAAAAACAUCAGUUCUCAGUUAUUAAAGAGCGUGAACAGGUUCUGAAGUGGCAUGCAAAACACGUUCACAGAAGAGGGGCAAAAAUUUUAUGCGUCCAAUUAUGGGCCGGAAUGAGAUUCUGGCAGUAUGAUAACCAUGCUGUGUUGAACAACUUCCCAGCAGCAACAGAACUGGAAGUGAAGGAUGCAAUGGGGGCAUUUCAAACAGGCACCAGGGAGCACGGGGGGGGGGUAUAGAAAUUAGUACAAUUAAUAAGUUGACGUGAACUGAAGAUAGUUUGUUAAUGUUUAGAUGUAAUUUCAUUUUUAAAAUUGUAUUUUGUUAUAUAUGCUUUUAUUUUGUUACUGUUUUUAUUCUUUUUGUUAAAAGUAGUUUUUCUUCAUUUGGUCUUAUCUGAAUUUCUAUUGUAUUAACAAUAUUUUUUGUAAUAAAUUGCAUGAUUGCAUGUUUAUGAGAACCUUUUUUAAUGGAUUAAAAAGAAUUCUUUA